GGCCGACUAGCUCAGUUGGUUAGAGCGUGGUACUAAUAUGAUUUCAUUGUGUUAUGCCAAGGUCGUCAGUUCGAUCCUGGCGUUGGCCA